ACACAGCUCUCUCCACCCCAACCCAGUAAAGAGACCUGCAGCAGGUGAGUUAGAACCUCAAAUGAGAAAGCCGAAGAGUCAACUGAAAGACCAGGAAAUACUUGAUUGCUAGCAUGCAUCUCCCUAAAUUGGAAUACAGCCACAAACCCUCGGGGCGAAAUCCCCAACCCCCACAGCAGCAGCCGGACAGCAUCUGGGUUUCUUCAUUUUAAUGCUUCAACAUUUCUGCGGUGGGCACUGGGAUGACGUAUACCUUCAGAAACAAACAGCUCAUCCUCAGUGUGCUGGUGUGCAUAGCACCCUCCAGCGUGAUGAAAUCGAGCCAGUAGAGCUGAACUUCAGACCAGCACCAGCUUGAUUGAUUUGUGUAUGUUGGGCAGGCUUUUGUGCCACCUGUUUUUGUUUUUGUAUUUAUUCUAUGUGCAGCAAGAAGCCAAAGGGAAGAAAAGGAGCAUAGAGUAUUUCUUCCCUUUAUUCUUUCCUUGGAGUUUUCCAGCUUCUCUCCAUCACCAAAGGAGGCUGCUCUUCUCAGGGCGAUCACUCUCCAUGAGUCUUCCUCCUGGCUGCCCUCUUCUUCUUGUCUUAACAUGCAGCUGGGAUCCUCUCUUGUUCCCUGACAAUUAUGACUACUCUGAAACUGUGAAGCAGGAUCCAUAAAUGUGAAAACUCUGAAUAGCUGUAAACAGUUCCCAAGCUGGAACUGCUUGGGUCGGAAUUAAUAAACGACAAGGUUGGAGGAGG